rnacentral:rRNA from 1 species
GCACAAGCGGUGGAGCAUGUGGUUAAUUCGAAGCAACGCGAAGAACCUUACCAGGUCUUGACAUCCCUGACAACCCAAGAGAUUGGGCGUUCCCCUUCGGGGGGACAGGGUGACAGGUGGUGCAUGGUUGUCGUCAGCUCGUGUCGUGAGAUGUUGGGUUAAGUCCCGCAACGAGCGCAACCCUUGCCAUUAGUUGCUACGAAAGGGCACUCUAAUGGGACUGCCGGUGACAAACCGGAGGAAGGUGGGGAUGACGUCAAGUCCUCAUGGCCCUUAUAGGUGGGGCUACACACGUCAUACAAUGGCCGGUACAGAGGGUAGCCAACCCGCGAGGGGGAGCCAAUCCCACAAAGCCGGUCGUAGUCCGGAUCGCAGUCUGCAACUCGACUGCGUGAAGUCGGAAUCGCUAGUAAUCGCGGAUCAGCAUGUCGCGGUGAAUACGUUCCCGGGUCUU